UUAAUGCUUUCUUUUCCUUACAGUGACAAUCUGAGAGUAGAAAAGUAUCGGGCUUCAUCCGACAAUCCUCUCAGCCUUCAUCAUCAUCCGUAACUUUUCAUUAUGAAAACCUGUCUCUUUUUGGCAAACCACUCACCCUCUUCAAUUCUUGGUUUACACCUCGGUUGCACUAGCGUCUCGGAUUGGUUGCCAAUUCAGACGGCGAUAUGAUUGGUUGUCGCAACUAGAAAUGAAGUUGUAACAAAGUCUUAGAAAUGUGUUGAAAUACCAUAUAUGGCCUGCUGAAGACAGAGCCCGGAUAGCUCAGUCGGUAGAGCAUCAGACUUUUAAUCUGAGGGUCCAGGGUUCAAGUCCCUGUUCGGGCGAUGCUUUUUUUUUUCACCUUGAAGACGACGCCUAAAUUGCGAUCUUGUAUUUACACUAAUUCGUUGUAUUCAGAAGGUCCGUUUCUUGUAUUUAUCAGUUUUAAAGACCGCCAAGCCGUAAUUAUGCUAUUGUCAAUAAUAAAUACAGAACAAGAGUCUACUUUGACUGGAUUUGAUUGGAAUAUCAUUUUCAAGGCUGUCUGGUGAACGUUUCGAGAUGUGGGACUAAUUUAUGCAUUUCCCAAACGUGCUGCUUUGGAGCACGGCUAUUUUUUUUUAUCCUCAGAAAACGUACUCUCAGGUAAAAAAAAAUCAAUGGCUGCCCAAUUUCUGGAAGAUCGUAAAUCUACCAUCUCUGAUUUGCACCAGACUGCUGCUCACGGACAGAAGAGAUGGACUUCAACCAUCAAUAGCCCGUAUCCUAUCAAGCGUCUUUGGAGGGAAGGUGGUAUCACAUCACCAAGGAGCAGCUUGAGGUGGAGGAUUGUUAUCCAUGGUGCUGUGGAUGGUUACAGCAGACUUGUUGGGUUUCUGAAGGCCUCUGACAACAACAGGAGUGCCACAGUCAUGGAUGUCAUUCGAAGCAGCCAUCACCAGCUACGGAGUACCAUCCCGGGUGAGAUGUGACCCGGGUGGUGAAAACAACCGUAUCUGUGCCUUCAUGGAGCAAUUCAGGGGUGGUGAGAGGGGAAGUGCCCUCAGAGGAAGGAGCACACAACCAGAGGAUAGAGUGGGCUGUAGGGGGACGUCUGGCAUGGAGUCUCCAACGUUUACCAUGACCUGUUCACCUUCUUGGAGACGGAGCAGAUCAUCGACAUCAACAAUGGGGUGGACCUGUGGGCACUGCACUUUGUGUUCCAGCCACGGAUGAACAGAGAUCUUGCUGUGUUUGCCAGUCAGGGGACCCACCAUGGGCUGAGGACUGAACAACGGCAGUCACCUCUGCAGUUG
rnacentral:tRNA from 1 species